AAGUGAGAAGCUUAAUGACCUUGGUUUAAUGUGUAGAGCCUAAUGCGUACUCAAUUAAAAAUUAAGUAGGAUUAGUAAAAGUUAAGCAAGAUUAAUUAAGAUUUAAGUAGGAUUAAUUACGCUAAUGAAGAUUAAGGGCCAAGUAUGGUUAAUUAGAACUAAGCUCGGUUAAUAAAGCUAAUGAAGUAAUUAGUGAAACACUUAAGCUAAUUAAUCAACCUACAUCAAAUAAAAGAAAGACAAAAGAGAAAGAUUGAGAAAGAUGGAGAAGAAUAGAGAGGGAGCUCAAGAGCUCUAGAGAAAGAAGAGAAGAAAGGAGAAAAGAAGGGGAAAUAGAAAGAAAAUCAAAGGGAACUCAAAAUUGGCCUAGAAAUUCAAGAAAAAUCAUCAAUAGGUGACGAAGAGCUUGGUUUCAAGAAAAGAUUGAUUAAGAGAUGUCUUGAUUGCUUCUAAUGGUUUCGUAUGAGCUUUGUCAUGAGUUUUGUAUCUUACUUUUGCUGUAUGGAUCAUGUAAUGUAAUAUAAGCGGGAUAAUAAUCUAAGAGGAAUUUAUGCUUUCAUUUCAUAUAGUUAUGUACAGCUCUGAAUGGAUGUUUCAAAUGGACUCAAUAUAAGUAUGUAAUGGCUUCCACACUUUAUAAUUGAAAAUUUGCCCCAAAU